GAAUCUUCCACAAUGGACGAAAGUCUGAUGGAGCACUGCCGCGUGAGUGAAGAAGGUUCUCGGCUCGUAAAACUCUGUUGUGAGGGAAGAACAAGUACGAGAGUAACUGCUCGUACCUUGACGCUCACUAAUUAGACAGCCACGGCUACCUAUGUGCCAGCAGCCGCGGUAAUACGUAGGUGGCAAGCGUUGUCCGGACUUAUUGGGCGUAAAGCGCGCGCAGGCGGUCCUUUAAGUCUGAUGUGAAAUCCCACGGCUCAACCGUGGAAGGUCAUGGGAAACUGGGGGACUUGAGUACAGAAGAGGAAAGCGGAAUUCCAAGUGUAGCGGGGAAAUGCGUAGAGAUUUGGAGGAACACCAGUGGCGAAGGCGGCUUUCUGGUCUGUAACUGACGCUGAGGCGCGAAAGCGUGGGGAGCAAACA
rnacentral:rRNA from 1 species